rnacentral:rRNA from 2 species
ACGGCGAGUGAAGCGGCAACAGCUCAAAUUUGAAAUCUGGCCCUUUUGGGGUCCGAGUUGUAAUUUGUAGAGGGUGCUUUGGCGUUGGUUGUGGUCUAAGUUCCUUGGAACAGGACGUCACAGAGGGUGAGAAUCCCGUACGUGGCCGCCAGCCUCCGCCGUGUAAAGCCCCUUCGAUGAGUCGAGUUGUUUGGGAAUGCAGCUCUAAAUGGGAGGUAAAUUUCUUCUAAAGCUAAAUAUUUGCCAGAGACCGAUAGCGCACAAGUAGAGUGAUCGAAAGAUGAAAAGCACUUUGGAAAGAGAGUCAAAAAGCACGUGAAAUUGUUGAAAGGGAAGCGCUUGCAGCUAGACGUGCCUUUGGUUGAUCAGCCGGGCUUUUGCCCGGUGCACUCUUCCUUUGGCAGGCCAGCAUCAGUUUGGGCGGCUGGAUAAAGGUCUGUUAAACGUGACUUCCUUCGGGGAGAGCUUAUAGGGCAGACGACAUGCAGCCAGCCUGAACUGAGGUCCGCGCAUCUGCUAGGAUGCUGGCGUAAUAGCUGUAAGCGGCCCGUCUUGAAACACGGACCAAGGAGUCUAACAUCUAUGCGAGUGUUUGGGUGUCAAGCCCGAGCGCGUAAUGAAAGUAAACGGAGGUGGGAACCCUUUGGGUGCACCAUCGACCGAUCUUGAUGUCUUCGGAUGGAUUUGAGUAAGAGCAUAGCUGUUGGGACCCGAAAGAUGGUGAACUAUGCCUGAAUAGGGUGAAGCCAGAGGAAACUCUGGUGGAGGCUCGCAGCGGUUCUGACGUGCAAAUCGAUCGUCAAAUUUGGGCAUAGGGGCGAAAGACUAAUCGAACUAUCUAGUAGCUGGUUCCUGCCGAAGUUUCCCUCAGGAUAGCAGUAACGUUUUCAGUUUUAUGAGGUAAAGCGAAUGAUUAGAGGCCUGGGGGUUGAAACAACCUUCACCUAUUCUCAAACUUUAAAUAUGUAAGAAGUCCUUGUUACUUAGUUGAACGUGGACAUUUGAAUGUAUCGUUACUAGUGGGCCAUUUUUGGUAAGCAGAACUGGCGAUGCGGGAUGAACCGAACGUGGGGUUAAGGUGCCAGAAUGCACGCUCAUCAGACACCACAAAAGGUGUUAGUUCAUCUAGACAGCAGGACGGUGGCCAUGGAAGUCGGAAUCCGCUAAGGAGUGUGUAACAACUCACCUGCCGAAUGAACUAGCCCUGAAAAUGGAUGGCGCUUAAGCGUGUUACCUAUAACCCUCGCCGCCAGUGGCAGAAUUUUGGUCCUGGCGAGAUCUCAGUCGUAGAA